rnacentral:rRNA from 1 species
AGGCCCUUCGGGGUACACGAGUGGCGAACGGGUGAGUAACACGUGGGUGAUCUGCCCUGCACUUUGGGAUAAGCCUGGGAAACUGGGUCUAAUACCGGAUAUACCCUGCUGGUCGCAUGGCCUGGUGGGGGAAAGCUUUUGCGGUGUGGGAUGGGCCCGCGGCCUAUCAGCUUGUUGGUGGGGUUUUGGCCUACCAAGGCGACGACGGGUAGCCGGCCUGAGAGGGUGUCCGGCCACACUGGGACUGAGAUACGGCCCAGACUCCUACGGGAGGCAGCAGUGGGGAAUAUUGCACAAUGGGCGCAAGCCUGAUGCAGCGACGCCGCGUGGGGGAUGACGGCCUUCGGG